AGUAACACGCAGAUUUCAAGUUGAGAAUAAGCAAAGUCAUACAUAGUUGCAGCAACAACAAUUAACAAUAGGAAUCAAUCAAUUGAAGUACCAUGGUUGCAGGAGCAGUAACUAAGUUAUAGAGACUUGAAAUUCCCAAUUGUCAUGUUACUUGCAAUUUGCAGCAGUCACUUACCUCGAGUAAUAUUAAUAUGAACCCAAUACCUGGAGGUUAGAAGAGGAUUCAUGUGUUGGCUCAGGUAAUAAAGGGCCCAAGUCUGAAUGGUGGCUGCAAUAGGUCUCAUAUUGCCCCCCAAAACCAUUCAAGACUGUUGCAAGCUUUAUUCAUCAUUGCCGGAGCGCGCUUCGUUUGUAUUUCAAGUUGAGAAGAAGCAAGCGGGGAUUAAAAAUGCUUGAAACAAAUGAUCUCCCAUUGCUAUAAAACUAUAUUUCUGUAUAGAUCUGAACAAAUACCAAAGCAUGCAUGCCACAAGCGAGAUGGAAUAAUUACAAUAUUAAACUGUAAGCAUGAUAAAGAAGCGAGAAGCAACUUGUUUGCAUAAUCCUAGACCAAAUGAUUCAGUUGGAAAAUAUUUUACAACGUGUUGACAAAAACAUACUUUUGAAAUCAUGUUACAUGAAACUUUUAGCCGUCACUUACCUCUAGUAAUAGUAAUUGAACCUAAUAAGUGGAGGUUAGAAGAGAGUUGGAGAUUAAUUACAUGCUGCUGCUGAACAAUCAUGUGUUGGCUCAGGUAUUAAAGGCCCCAAGUCUGAAUGGUGGCUGCAAUAGAUCACCUAUUGCCCCCCAAACCAUUCAAGACUAAUGCAAGCUUUAUUCAUCAUUGUCGAACCGCAUACUGUUUGUAUUACAAGUUGAGAAGAAACAAGCUUAUACAUACUAAGCUUGAAGCAAAGUCAUACCAUUUUGGCAAAAUUAUAUUACCU
rnacentral:lncRNA from 1 species